UGAAUUCAUCGCCUGCAUCACAAACAUGAAUUCACCAACAAAUGGAAGAGGAUGGAUUGAAGUACUACAACAACCCCUGACUAUAAAUUGAUGUACUGAUCAGGGAGUAUUGAUGUCCAUUGGGUCAGGAGGAUUAACCAUUGACUUGGAUACUAAUAAGAAAAGAUGGGAGAUGGUCCAUUCCUGGAGUUGAUUAUUGACUGCGCUUUUUGACCUUAUGGUCAAAUCUGUUUGGUAAGAGGCUAUCCAUGUGGAUUGAGGGUGAAGGACUCUUUGUCACAUCUCUAUAAGCACCAUCAACUACUGGUCUCUACUUAAGGACUUUAUGGACUUUUCUGACCAAUUCUGAUUGUUUUGCACUAUUCUCAGUUUAUUUCUUGUUUGUACCUUGUCAGACUGUGUCUGCUUUUUAGUUAUCAGCACUGCACUUUUUUUUAUAUCUUUUUAUUUUUGUCCAAGAUCAAUAUAGUGGCAACUGUUUUAACAGCGCUUUACAACUUAAGGGCAAACAGUACAGUUACAAUAUGAUUCAGAACAGGAGGAAUCAGAGGGCCCUGCUCGUUAGAGCUUACAAUCUUUUUGCUCAUAUUAUUGCCUACAAUAUAGUGUCAGCUGUUUAUUGCUAUUUUGAGCCUUAGCGCAGAUACUAUAUGUGUUUUUUAUAUAUGUGUAUGUAUGCACAUCUGAUAGGGACCUUAGAUUGUAAGCUCCUUGAAUGCAAGGACUGACUUGAAUGUACAAUAUGUAAAGUUAUGCAUAAAUUGCUGACACUAUAUACCAUAAAUACUUGUAAUACCUUGCAUGUCCUUGAAUUAAUAAAAUGACCUCUACAAUUGUAAUACAGAGGAGCUGUAUACAGUAUGUACACAUUCACUGGUUUUCACUUAAAUAAAUGAAAACCUCAGAAACACAUGCUUCUGCAGUAAGUAAGUAAAUCAAUUAACACAGCAUGUAUAUAAAAAUGUAGGCGUACCAAUAACAAACAGCAAGCAAUGUAUGUAUUCUUAGAAAAGAGAUGCCUUGGUAUUAAAUUGCUCAAAGGAUAUAUACACACAACUUGUAAAAUUGUAAGUUUCGACUUGUUCUACUUGCUAUGCCGGUGUAUAUACAUGGGCUAAACUUGUAUAUAUGGCCUGGUAAUUAUUAAAAGAAAACAUAUUUUGUA